rnacentral:rRNA from 1 species
UACGUAGGGGGCAAGCGUUGUCCGGAUUUAUUGGGCGUAAAGAGCGUGUAGGCGGCCAGACAGGUCCGUUGUGAAAACUCGAGGCUCAACCUCGAGACGCCGAUGGAAACCGUUUGGCUAGAGUCCGGAAGAGGAGAGUGGAAUUCCUGGUGUAGCGGUGAAAUGCGCAGAUAUCAGGAAGAACACCCGUGGCUAAGGCGGCUCUCUAGUACGGUACUGACGCUGAGGUGCGAAAGCGUGGGGAGCGAACAGG